rnacentral:rRNA from 1 species
UACGUAGGUGGCAAGCGUUGUCCGGAUUUACUGGGCGUAAAGAGCGCGCAGGCGGUCGUUCAAGUCGCGUGUGAAAGCCCCCGGCUCAACUGGGGAGGGUCACGCGAUACUGAUCGACUCGAAGGCAGGAGAGGGUAGUGGAAUUCCCGGUGUAGUGGUGAAAUGCGUAGAUAUCGGGAGGAACACCAGUGGCGAAGGCGACUUCCUGGCCUGUUCUUGACGCUGAGGAGCGAAAGCGUGGGGAGCGGAACAGG